rnacentral:rRNA from 1 species
UACAUGCAAGUCGAACGAGAAUCUGGGCUUCGGUCAAGAGGAAAAGUGGCGGACGGGUGAGUAACUGUGGUAGAGAAUCUAGCCCUUUAGUGGGGGACAACAGUUGGAAACGACUGGCUAAUACCCCGAUAUGCGCGUAGCUGAGAUGCUAUUCGUGAAAACUCCGGUGCUAAAGGAUGAGUCUGCAUCUGAUUAGCUAGUUGGCGGUGUAAUGGACCACCAAGGCGACGAUCAGUAGCUGGUUUGAGAGGAUGAUCAGCCACAAUGGGACUGAGGACACGGCCCAUACUCCUACGGGAGGCAGCAGUAGGGAAUUUUGCGCAAUGGGGGAAACCCUGACGACAGCAACGCCGCGUGAUUGAAUAAGCCCUUCGGGGUGUAAAGAUCUGUCCAGUGGGGACGAAACUUGACGGUACCCACAGAGGAAGCAUCGGCUAACUCCGUGCCAGCCGCCGC